rnacentral:rRNA from 1 species
GACGAACGCUGGCGGCGUGCUUAACACAUGCAAGUCGAACGAAGAGCGAUGGAAGCUUGCUUCUAUCACUCUUAGUGGCGAACGGGUGAGUAACGCGUAAUCAACCUGCCCUUCAGAGGGGGACAACAGUUGGAAACGACUGCUAAUACCGCAUACGAUCUAAUCUCGGCAUCGAGGAUAGAUGAAAGGUGGCCUCUACAUGUAAGCUAUCACUGAAGGAGGGGAUUGCGUCUGAUUAGCUAGUUGGAGGGGUAACGGCCCACCAAGGCGAUGAUCAGUAGCCGGUCUGAGAGGAUGAACGGCCACAUUGGGACUGAGACACGGCCCAGACUCCUACGGGAGGCAGCAGUGGGGAAUCUUCCGCAAUAGACGAAAGUCUGACGGAGCAACGCCGCGGGAGUGAUGACGGCCUUCGGGUUGUAAAGCUCUGUUAAUCGGGACGAAAGGCCUUCUUGCGAAUAGUGAGAAGGAUUGACGGUACCGGAAUAGAAAGCCACGGCUAACUACGUG